ACAAAGAUUAGAGAUCAAUGGAUGAUCUCAGUAAUCUAAAAUAUAGCUUGAAACAGAAAACAAACAUAGUAAAAAUCAAUAAUAAAAAACUGAGCCUAUCUUAUUACAAAUUGUUGCAAUAGCAGAUUGUUGUGUGUAGCAAAGUACUUCAACCCCAUUCUGAAUUUGUUCAGUCAUAUUUUACUUUUAGGUGGCUAAUAACUUUACCAUUUUCAGGAGCUCUGGGAAGAAAACUUGAGUGCUUCUGUUAGUCUUCAUGUUUUAGAAAUUACUGAGAAGUUUUCCACAAUGGCUCCUUCCCAUAGUAUUGCUACAGACUAUGGAAAACUUGAUUGAUUCUAAUAUGCUAGCUUGAGAACUAAAGAAAGCAUAAAGGGAUGAUAAAUUGUGUAGCUGGGUUUAUAGUUAUAUGAUCUAAAAUAGCAUGAAUAGGUAGUUUUAAUAUAAUAACUGUAAUCAUAAAGAUUUAUAUAUGAUCUAAUGCUCUAAUAUAUUUGUAUGUAGUUGUCUAGCGGAUUAAUUAGAGAAAAUAUUAUCAAAGAAAGUUAAGUGUAGUAAUUUUCUUCUAAUUGUUUCUGUAUAAUCUUUCUAAUUUCAUAAAAUUGAGGAUGGGACUUGAGAAGCUAGCUUGCAAGUUAUGAUUAAACAGGUUUCAAGUUUGGUUCAUAGUCUCUCUCUUUGUUUCUUCUUGGCUGGUUGUUUAUCGAAUACAUUUUAGCGCCCCCUACUGGUUAAAAGAAAGAACUAAAUCAAUAGUUUAUUGGCAAUAGGGAUGGAGGAACUGUCAUUUCUUUUAACAACAGAAGGAAAAAUUACCAGAGAAGCUUGAAACAGUUGGUGCAUUUAAAAAGCUGCCCAUGGUGAUGCAAUCUUUUGAUAUUCUUUACUCAGCAAUAAAGAAGGCCAAGAGAGUUUCUCCAACUAAGGGCAUUGCCAACAUUGCAAAGCGAGAGAGAAAUAGCGGUGCAAAGCAGCUUGAUGCGCUGAUGAAAGAAUUGGCAGCUCCUUUGAGGACUUACAUGGAGAGUUUUCCAAAGAGACAUACUAUUCAUCCAUAUGAGCGAUCUCUUAUUGAAUUGACUCUUGGAGAUGGAAAUUAUCAUUAUAUUAUAUCAAGAAUUAUUGUUAUAAGGUAAUCUUUGACAUU